rnacentral:rRNA from 1 species
GAUGAACGCUGGCGGCGUGCCUAAUACAUGCAAGUCGAGCGAACAGAUGAGGAGCUUGCUCCUCUGACGUUAGCGGCGGACGGGUGAGUAACACGUGGAUAACCUACCUAUAAGACUGGGAUAACUUCGGGAAACCGGAGCUAAUACCGGAUAAUAUAUUGAACCGCAUGGUUCAAUAGUGAAAGACGGUUUUGCUGUCACUUAUAGAUGGAUCCGCGCCGCAUUAGCUAGUUGGUAAGGUAACGGCUUACCAAGGCAACGAUGCGUAGCCGACCUGAGAGGGUGAUCAGCCACACUGGAACUGAGACACGGUCCAGACUCCUACGGGAGGCAGCAGUAGGGAAUCUUCCGCAAUGGGCGAAAGCUUGACGGAGCAACGCCGCGUGAGUGAUGAAGGUCUUCGGAUCGUAAAACUCUGUUAUUAGGGAAGAACAAAUGUGUAAGUAACUAGGCACGUCUUGACGGUACCUAAUCAGAAAGCCACGGCUAACUACGUG